rnacentral:rRNA from 1 species
UACAGAGGUCCCGAGCGUUGUUCGGAUUCAUUGGGCGUAAAGGGUGCGUAGGCGGCGGGGCAAGUCUGAUGUGAAAUCCUGGGGCUCAACCCCAGAACUGCAUUUGAUACUGCGGUGCUUGAGGACUGGAGAGGAGACUGGAAUUCACGGUGUAGCAGUGAAAUGCGUAGAUAUCGUGAGGAAGACCAGUGGCGAAGGCGGGUCUCUGGACAGUUCCUGACACUGAGGCACGAAGGCCAGGGGAGCAAACGGG